GUCCAGCGUGGCACAGUGGUUUGAGCAUUAUACUAGGACUCUGGAUAGCAGGGUUUGAUUCCCAGCUUGGCCA